AUUGAACGCUGGCGGCGGGCCUAACACAUGCAAGUCGAGCGGAUGAAGGGAGCUUGCUCCUGGAUUCAGCGGCGGACGGGUGAGUAAUGCCUAGGAAUCUGCCUGGUAGUGGGGGAUAACGUCCGGAAACGGGCGCUAAUACCGCAUACGUCCUGAGGGAGAAAGUGGGGGAUCUUCGGACCUCACGCUAUCAGAUGAGCCUAGGUCGGAUUAGCUAGUUGGUGGGGUAAAGGCCUACCAAGGCGACGAUCCGUAACUGGUCUGAGAGGAUGAUCAGUCACACUGAAACGGAGCGACGGAGAAGAGUAGUACGGGAGGAAGAAAGGGGAAAUAUUGGAUGAGGAGCGAAGGCCUGAUCAGGCGGUGCGGGGUUUUUGAAGAAAGUCUUCGGUUGGGAAAGCACUUUAGGGUGGGAUGAAGGUAAGUAAUUUAAUACCUUGUUGUUUUGACAUAACCAACAAAAGAGGCAGCGCCUAACUUGGUGCCAGAGGCCGCGGUAAUAAGCGGAAGAGCAGACGUCUGACC
rnacentral:rRNA from 1 species